rnacentral:rRNA from 1 species
GAUGAACGCUAGCGGGAGGCUUAAUACAUGCAAGUCGAGGGGUAACAGGGGUUUCGGCCCGCUGACGACCGGCGAACGGGUGAGUAACGCGUACGCAACUUACCUCCAAGGAAGGGACAGCCCUGGGAAACUGGGAUUAAUACCUUAUAGUAUUACGUUAUCGCAUGGUAAUGUAAUUAAAGAAUUUCGCUUGGAGAUGGGCGUGCGUCUUAUUAGCUAGUUGGUGAGGUAGUAGCUCACCAAGGCGACGAUAAGUAGGGGGCGUGAGAGCGUGAUCCCCCACACGGGUACUGAGACACGGACCCGACUCCUACGGGAGGCAGCAGUAAGGAAUAUUGGACAAUGGGCGCAAGCCUGAUCCAGCCAUCCCGCGUGCAGGAUGACGGCCCUAUGGGUUGUAAACUGCUUUUACAUAGGAAGAAACGCCUGGAUUUAUCUGGGCCUGACGGUACUAUGGGAAUAAGCACCGGCUAAUUCCG